rnacentral:rRNA from 1 species
AUUGAACGCUGGCGGCAGGCCUAACACAUGCAAGUCGAGCGGACGAAGGGGGCUUGCUCCUGGAUUCAGCUGCCGACGGGUGAGUAAUUCCUAGGAAUCUGCCUGGUAUUGGGGGAUAACGUCCGGAAACGGGCGCUAAUACCGCAUACGUCCUUAUGUAGAAAGUGGUGGAUCUUCGGUCCUCACGCUAUCUGAUGAGCCUAGGUCGGAUUAGCUAGUUGGUGGGGUAAAGGCCUACCAAGGCGACGAUCCGUAACUGGUCUGAGAGGAUGAUCAGUCACACUGGAACUGAGACACGGUCCAGACUCCUACGGGAGGCAGCAGUGGGGAAUCUUGGACAAAGGGCGAAAGCCUGAUGCAGCCAUGCCGCGUGUGUGAAGAAGGUCUUCGGAUUGUAAAGCUCUUUAAGUUGGGAGGAAGGGAAGUAAGUUAAUACAUGGCUGUUUUGACGGUACCAACAGAAUAAGCAACGGCUAACUUCGUG